rnacentral:rRNA from 1 species
AGCAGCCACGGUAAUUCCAGCUCCAAUAGCGUAUAUUAAAGUUGCUGCAGUUAAAAAGCUCGUAGUUGAAUUUCGGGACCAUCAUGUCGGUCGUGCCUCGGUACGUACUGGCAUUGUUGGUUUCUUCCUUCUGACGAACCAUGAUGUCAUUUAUUUGGUGUCGUGGGAAAUCAGGACUGUUACUUUGAAAAAAUUAGAGUGUUUAAAGCAGGCUCACGCUUGAAUACAUUAGCAUGGAAUAAUGAAAUAGGACGUUUGAUUCUAUUUUGUUGGUUUCUAGGAUCGACGUAAUGAUUAAUAGGGAUAGUUGGGGGCAUUAGUAUUCAAUUGUCAGAGGUGAAAUUCUUGGAUUUAUUGAAGACUAACUACUGCGAAAGCAUUUGCCAAGGAUGUUUUCAUUAAUCAAGAACGAAAGUUAGGGGAUCGAAGACGAUCAGAUACCGUCGUAGUCUUAACCAUAAACUAUGCCGACUAGGGAUCGGAUGAUGUUAAUUUAAUGACUCA